rnacentral:ncRNA from 10 species
AAGACACCGCGGAACUGACGGAAUGAUGUGGAAUCGACCACGUGAACCGCGGAUGAUCUGAUUGGCCGACCGUCUGGGCAGGGAAA